UACAGAGGUCUCAAGCGUUGUUCGGAAUCACUGGGCGUAAAGGGUGCGUAGGUGGCGUGGUAAGUCAGAUGUGAAAGCCCGGGGCUCAACCUCGGAACUGCAUCCGAUACUACCAUGCUAGAGUACUGAAGAGGUGACUAGAAUUCUAGGUGUAGCAGUGAAAUGCGUAGAUAUCUAGAGGAAUACCAAAGGCGAAGGCAGGUCACUGGGCAGUUACUGACACUGAGGCACGAAGGCUAGGGGAGCAAACGGG
rnacentral:rRNA from 1 species